GAUGAACGCUAGCGGCAGGCCUAAUACAUGCAAGUCGAACGGAUAUAUGUUUUUCGGAAUAUAUAUUAGUGGCGCACGGGUGAGUAACACGUACAUAACUUGCCCUCAAGCGGGGGAUAGCCUUGGGAAACUGAGAGUAAUACCCCAUAGAAUUAUUGGACGGCAUCGUUUGAUAAUUAAAACUACGGUGUUUGGGGAUAGAUGUGCGUCUGAUUAGCUAGUUGGUGAGGUAACUGCUCACCAAGGCGACGAUCAGUAGGGGGCGUGAGGGCGUGGCCCCCCACACGGUACGUGAGACACGGACCCGGACUCCUACGGGAGGCAGCAGUAAGGAA
rnacentral:rRNA from 1 species